rnacentral:rRNA from 1 species
UACAGAGGUCCCGAGCGUUGUUCGGAUUCACUGGGCGUAAAGGGUGCGUAGGUGGCUGGACAAGUUUGAUGUGAAAGCUCAGGGCUUAACCCUGAAAUGGCAUUGAAUACUGUCGAGCUGGAGGUUUGGAGGGGGGACUGGAAUUCUUGGUGUAGCAGUGAAAUGCGUAGAUAUCAAGAGGAACACCAGUGGCGAAGGCGAGUCCCUGGACAACACCUGACACUGAGGCACGAAAGCUAGGGGAGCAAACAGG